UACAGAGGGGGGCAAGCGUUGUUCGGAAUUACUGGGCGUAAAGGGCGCGUAGGCGGCCGCCUAAGUCAGACGUGAAAUCCCUCGGCUCAACCGGGGAACUGCGUCUGAUACUGGGUGGCUUGAAUUCGGGAGAGGGAUGCGGAAUUCCAGGUGUAGCGGUGAAAUGCGCAGAUAUCAGGAAGAACACCCGUGGCGAAGGCGGCUCUCUGGGACGGUACUGACGCUGAGACGCGAAAGCGUGGGGAGCGAACAGG
rnacentral:rRNA from 1 species